GACGAACGCUGGCGGCGUGCUUAACACAUGCAAGUCGAACGGAAAGGCCCUGCUUGCAGGGUACUCGAGUGGCGAACGGGUGAGUAACACGUGGGUGAUCUGCCCUGCACUUCGGGAUAAGCCUGGGAAACUGGGUCUAAUACCGGAUAGGAGCCAUCUUUAGUGUGAUGGUUGGAAAGUUUUUUCGGUGUAGGAUGAGCUCGCGGCCUAUCAGCUUGUUGGUGGGGUAAUGGCCUACCAAGGCGGCGACGGGUAGCCGGCCUGAGAGGGUGGACGGCCACAUUGGGACUGGGAUUCGGCCCAGACCCCUACGGGGGGCAGCAGUGGGGAAUAUUGCACAAUGGGCGCAAGCCUGAUGCAGCGACGCCGCGUGGGGGAUGACGGGCUUCGGGUUGUAAACUCCUUUCGCUAGGGACGAAGCUUUUUGUGACGGUACCUAGAUAAGAAGCACCGGCUAACUACGUG
rnacentral:rRNA from 1 species